rnacentral:rRNA from 1 species
AUUGAACGCUGGCGGCAUGCUUUACACAUGCAAGUCGAACGGUAGACCCUUUCGGGGGUUGAGAGUGGCGAACGGGUGAGUAAUGCAUCGGAGCGUGCCUAGUCGUGGGGGAUAACGUAGCGAAAGUUACGCUAAUACCGCAUACGCACUGAGGUGGAAAGCGGGGGACCGUAAGGCCUCGCGCGAUUGGAGCGGCCGAUGUCGGAUUAGCUAGUUGGUGAGGUAAAGGCUCACCAAGGCGACGAUCCGUAGCGGGUCUGAGAGGAUGAUCCGCCACACUGGGACUGAGACACGGCCCAGACUCCUACGGGAGGCAGCAGUGGGGAAUUUUGGACAAUGGGCGCAAGCCUGAUCCAGCCAUGCCGCGUGCGGGAAGAAGGCCUC